UACGAAGGGGGCUAGCGUUGUUCGGAAUCACUGGGCGUAAAGGGCGCGUAGGCGGCCGAUCAAGUCGGGGGUGAAAGCCUGUGGCUCAACCACAGAAUUGCCUUCGAUACUGUUUGGCUUGAGACCGGAAGAGGUUAGUGGAACUGCGAGUGUAGAGGUGAAAUUCGUAGAUAUUCGCAAGAACACCAGUGGCGAAGGCGGCUGACUGGUCCGGUUCUGACGCUGAGGCGCGAAAAGCUAGGGGAGCAAACGGG
rnacentral:rRNA from 1 species